rnacentral:misc_RNA from 1 species
GUUAUUACAAUCCAGUGAGACAACGUGUUAAAGGCGUACAAAAAUUUCCCACAAACUGAGGGGUGCUCUCUCUCAGUUUUCGCUCCCUGCUUCUCUGUGUCUUCCAAAAAUUUUCACUUUCUCUUCCCCCCGCUCUUUCCCCCCCUUCUCUUUCCCUCCAUGUGACUAUCCUCUUUCUAAAACUGAUAAAUAAUCACAUCCUAUUAUCCCAAGUAAGUGAACCCUUUCCUUUUUCUCUUCCAUGCCUUCCAUGUCUAUUUUCUAGGGUUUUUGGUUUCUCAUUUUUUUGUUCUGUUUAAUCAAUUGGACUUAUUUUGAGAAGCUUUUACCUGCAUGCCAUGCCUGGCCAUUCCAUUUUGAGUUUCAAUGUUUCAGGUAUCACACAUUAUUGUUCUGGAUUAGUGAGAUUGUUGCUUGCAGUUGUGGGAUGAGGUGAAGGGCCAGCAUUUUGUGUCACGUAGGUUCCCAUUUUGAAGACUUUUCAAUUGUUGUUAUUUGAAUGUGUGAAGAUAUUGGAUGAGAGUUGGACUCUGGUGAGACAAGGGAAGAAAAGUUGCCAUCUCAUUGGGUAUUAUUGGGUUUCAACUGUCAAUGGAAUGCAAUAAAGAGGAGGCCAUUAGAGCAAAAGAAAUUGCGGAAAAGAAAAUGCAAAAUGGGGAUUUUGUUGGGGCACGCCGGAUUGCACAGAAGGCACGGCAACUCUAUCCUGACCUUGAUAAUAUUUCUCAAUUAUUAAUGGUUUGUGAGGUUCAUUGUUCUGCACAAAACAAACUAAAUGGAUCAGAAAUGGAUUGGUAUGGAGUUCUCCAGAUUGAGCAGUUUUCAGAUGAGUCUGUUGUCAGGAAGCAAUUCAGAAAGCUUGCUCUCUCUCUUCAUCCAGACAAGAAUAAGUUUGCAGGUGCAGAGGCUGCUUUCAAGCUGAUUGGUGAAGCAAAUAGGGUGCUUACAGACCCAACCAAACGUUCGUUGUAUGACAUGAAGUGCAGAGGUUCACUGAGAUCUGUUGCACCAAAGUCAGCAACUGAUCAGUCAAAUAAAAACUCUUAUGCCAAGAAGCAGCAUGGUGCUGCAAACAAGUUCGCUAAUACGCCUCAUUCGCAGUACAUGAGUUCACAUACUUAUCAGCAGCCACAACAGACAACAUUCUGGACACACUGUCCCUCUUGCACCGUGAAGUACCAAUACUACAGAGAAUUUCUAAAUAAAAUGUUACGUUGUCAAAAUUGUCAGCAGCCUUUUAUUGCUAAUGAUUUGGGUACAUCACCUGGAUCUUCCUGGAGUCAGUUCCUCGAUGAGAAAAGAGUUCCAAGGCAAGGUCCUUCUAAAGUUGCACCAGGAAAUAAUGCAGGGAAGCCAUCUGGUAUGAGCUUUCCGCAUGCGUUUUCAGGGUCAGACCUGAUGCCUAAGGUAGGAAGAGCUGCAGAUGUUUGUGGGAGUUCUAAACCCAAAGAGGCAAAGGCAGGAAAUGCUUCUGGAAUUGGUGGGGGUUCUAAACCACAGGAGAAAGUGAAUGGGCAUGUGGAAGUUGGGAAAGGAGGUGCUCCAGUGUCAAUGUCAAAUGCAAAGAAAUUCAAGGGAUCACUAACUUCAGAUAGUGCAAGUAGUAAGAAACGGAGGAAGUCAAUGGAGGAAUCCAGUGAGAAUUUUGACAAAGGCAGCAGUGCUGGCAUUGAAGAAAACAUCGUUGUUGAGGAGAAUGGUGGUGACCUUUCUGCCCAGAAUUCUAGACCCAGUGAUGGCUAUCAACCUAGGAGAUCUUCAAGGCAAAAGCAGCACAUUUCUUACGAGGAAAAUUUAAGCAAUGAUGACUUUGUUGACCCUCCUCCAAAAAGAUCUAGGGGUAGCAGGUCAUCUGGUGUGGCUGAUGGUGAGAUAAAAGAAGCAAGUGCAGGUAGUGGAAUGCCAAGAGGAGAUAUUUCAGCUGGUUUUGCUACUUAUGCAUUGAAUAGAAACAAUAAAGAGGUUAACCAAAAAGCAACUUCCAGUCUUGAAGAAAGAUCAUCAAACAAGAAAAGGAAAACGGGAGAUUUUGAGGCUAAAGGAGAUGAAGCAUCCAUGUCAGAGAAGGCUGGUACAAAGUUGGAGAUCAAUGAUGAAAAUUCCAAAAUUGGCACAUCUAAGUUAAAUUCAAAUGAAACACUAAAAUCAGAGAUCUUUGUAUGUCCUGAUCCAAAUUUCAGUAAUUUUGAGAAAGAUAGGGCAGAAGGCUCUUUUGCUGUUAAUCAAAUAUGGGCUAUUUAUGAUUCAAUAGAUGGCAUGCCCAGAUUUUAUGCACGGGUCAAGAAAGUGCUUACUCCUGGGUUCAAGCUGCAGAUAACUUGGCUAGAGGCAAGCCCGGAUAACGAUGCUGAGCAACUUUGGUGUGAGGAGGGUUUGCCUUCUGCUUGUGGUAUGUAUGAAAAUGGGGAUACUGUAGAAACUGUAGACCAUCCUAUGUUCUCUCAUCAAAUGUAUUGUAAGAAUGCUGGACGCAAAGGCACUUACUUGAUAUAUCCCAAGAAGGGAGAAACAUGGGCUCUCUUUAAGGAUUGGGACAUUAAAUGGAGUUCUGAACCAGAUAAGCAUAGGCCUCCUUACCAAUUUGAAUUUGUGGAAAUUCUGACAAAUUUUACCGAGGAUCUUGGCAUUGGGGUUUCUUAUUUGGAUAAAGUGAAGGGAUUUGUUAGUAUUUAUCAGCAAGUUGACUGUAAUGGUGUUCUAUCAUUUUGCAUACGACCAAGUGAACGGUAUAGAUUUUCCCACCGAAUUCCUUCAUUCAGAAUGACUGGUCAGGAAGGAGAAGGUGUCCCUGCAGGGUCUUUUGAACUUGAUACUGCUGCACUGCCUGGUAAUCUUUACAACCUCGUUGAACUUGGUGAUGUGAAGGUUGGAAAGGAGAAGCUAGAUGCUGAAGCAAUUGGUUCAUAUUCAAAGUCUCCUGAAUAUAAAGUGGAACCUAUAAAGCGCUCUGAGAAGGUUUGCACUCCUAAGAAUCUCAAGAGUGGUCCUGAAAAAGGAACUUCAAGACAUGCAAGAUCUCCAGGAGAAUCAACUGGGACAUGUAGGGAUGACAGUCAUAUUGAUGGAGGUCAACGGGCAAAAGAUAAGGAUGGUAACAAAGUUGCUAGUCAUGGCAAGCUAACUCAACCUGAAGGAAUCCGUACUUCUUUUCAGGAUACUGAGAGGAGCACAACCCAUAAGAAAUUGGAGAAGGUAAAAUUUACAGCAGAUGCCUGGACACCUAGAAGAUCUCCUAGAGACUUGAGCAAUAGAGUAGAUGCAAGUCAGUCUACAACAGAAGUUGCUGGCAAGCAUACUGCAACAAACAAAGAUGAAAGACAAGGGCAACCAGGUGCUUCCUCACGUCAUCCUGAUAAUAAAAUGCAUUUACAUGUGAAGGAUGGAAGUUCGGUCAGUCCCGCAAAAAGCCAAAAGUCCUCUGGUUGUAGAGUUAUAGAAGUAGAGCACUAUGAUUUCAAGAGCAAAAAGUCCAAGGAUAAAUUUCAACUGGACCAGGUAUGGGCACUGCACAGUGAUAAGGAUGGUUUACCCAGGGAUUAUGCUCAGGUUAAGAAGAUUGAAUCCACUAAUGGGUUCAAAUUGCAUGUGGCAAUGCUUGAAGCCUGCCCACUCCAAAAAGACAUGCAGACUGUUUGCGGGACAUUUAAAGUUAAAAAUAAAUGCAUGGUGCUUCCUGUCACUGCAUUUUCUCAUCAGGUGAAAGCGAAGGCAAUUGGGAAGAGCAAAUACGAAAUUUACCCUAGACAAGGGGAGAUUUGGGCAAUAUAUAGGAUCUGGAAUGCUGAAUUAACGUUUUCAGACCAGGAUGCAAGGGAAUGCGACUUUGUUGAAGUGGUAGAAGAAAAUGACGGGGGUGUGAAAGCUGUAGUUUUGAUACCCGUUAAUGGAUCUGCAUCAUUUUACACGGCACCAAGAAGAUCAAAACGCAGUAUAAUUGACAUGCCACGGGCUGAGUUUGGUAGAUUUUCUCAUCAGUGUUUAGCUUCCCAGGUUGUGGGAAAGAACAAUAGUUUCCUGAAAGGCUAUUGGGAGCUUGCUCCUUCAUCAAUUCCUGGUUCUGUAAUUUUGGUAGAUUAAACGGUCGUAUUGUAGGUAGGUUGCGUACUGAUCUUUGUGGAAUGCUAUGAAAUUGUUCCCUGUUGUAAGCGGAAUGAAGUUUGUAGAAACUUUGGCAAUAUGGGUUUUUCUUCUCAACCAA